GUCCUUUAGAUUUAGAAUUUAAGGUUUAAUCUGCCCACUGAGUAAUUUAAUGGCCGCAGUAAUUUGACUGUGCAAAGGUAGCAUAAUCAUUAGUUUUUUAAUUAAAAGCUUGAAUGAAUGAUUGGACGAAAUAAAGUCUGUCUUUAUAUUAAAUAUAGAACUUAAUUUUUAAGUAAAAAAGCUUAAAUAUUAGUAAAAGACGAGAAGACCCUAUAGAUCUUUAUACAAUAUAGUUUAUUUUUAAUUAAGAUUAUUUAAUGAAUUAGAUUUUAUUGUAUUUUAUUGGGGUAAUAAAAAGAUUAAUUAAAUUCUUUAUUUAUUUCACAAAAAUUCUUGAAUUAAUGAUCCUUUAUUAUGGAUUUAAGAUUAAGUUACCUUAGGGAUAACAGCGUAAUUUUUUUAGAGAGUUCUUAUCGAUAAAAAAGUUUGCGACCUCGAUGUUGGAUUAAAAUUAAUUUUAGGUGUAGUAGUUUAAAAUUUUGGUCUGUUCGACCAUUGAAUUUUUACAUGAUCUGAGUUCAGACCGGUGUAAGCCAGGUCGGUUUCUAUCUUUAUUUAAUUAAAAUAUUUUAGUACGAAAGGACCAAAUAUUAAUUAUAAUUAUAUUUAUUUAUUUUGAAUAUUA
rnacentral:rRNA from 1 species